rnacentral:rRNA from 1 species
GAUGAACGCUGGCGGCGUGCUUAACACAUGCAAGUCGAACGGAAAGGCCCAAGCUUGCUUGGGUACUCGAGUGGCGAACGGGUGAGUAACACGUGGGUGAUCUGCCCUGCACUUCGGGAUAAGCCUGGGAAACUGGGUCUAAUACCGGAUAGGACCACUUCUUGGAUGUUGUGGUGGAAAGUUUUUUCGGUGUGGGAUGAGCUCGCGGCCUAUCAGCUUGUUGGUGGGGUAAUGGCCUACCAAGGCGUCGACGGGUAGCCGGCCUGAGAGGGUGUACGGCCACAUUGGGACUGAGAUACGGCCCAGACUCCUACGGGAGGCAGCAGUGGGGAAUAUAGCACAAUGGGCGCAAGCCUGAUGCAGCGACGCCGCGUGGGGGAUGACGGCCUUCGGGUUGUAAACUCCUUUCGCUAGGGACGAAGCGUUUUGUGACGGUACCUGGAGAAGAAGCACCGGCUAACUACGUG